rnacentral:rRNA from 1 species
UACGUAGGGUGCAAGCGUUGUCCGGAAUUAUUGGGCGUAAAGAGCUCGUAGGCGGUUUGUCGCGUCUGCUGUGAAAACUCGGGGCUUAACUCCGGGCCUGCAGUGGGUACGGGCAGACUAGAGUGCGGUAGGGGAGACUGGAAUUCCCGGUGUAGCGGUGAAAUGCGCAGAUAUCAGGAGGAACACCGAUGGCGAAGGCAGGUCUCUGGGCCAUAACUGACGCUGAGAAGCGAAAGCAUGGGGAGCGAACAGG